GAAACUUAAUCACCAAAUAUGUCUAUAAGAUAAUUUCAAUCUGCAUGAUAUCGCAGCGACCAACAAUUAUACUGGUCGAAAAAUGACCACCAACAUGAAUAACAACAAUACGUCACAUCAUUAAUUAUAUUACCACAAAUGAGAAUUGUUUGAAAACAAGGAUUGCGAUAUCAUGCAGAUUGAAAUUAUCUUAUAGUCAUAUUUGGAAACAUGAAUAACAGUAUAAAUGAGAAUUGUUUGAAAACAUGGAUUGCGUAUAAAAAAGUAUAAUGUCAUUUUUGUAAUUUUAUUAAUAUAAUUACAUUCAUUGUCUUUCUAUAUAUCACUCAAUUUAACAAUUUCAUUAAUUAUAUUACAUUAACAAUACGUCAUAUCAUUAAUUUUAUUACCAUAAUAAUAAUAGUGCAAAUUUUUAUUUAUUAGUUAAUCAACAUUAACUUUGUGCCAUUUAUAAAAUCAAAAAUGUAAAAUAAUUGAGUUUUGCCUAUGGUUAAAUGUUCGGUUUAGUUUGUUUUACUAUAACUUUUUUUUUAGUUUCAAUCGGUGGAAAACUAUGUAGCUAAAAACAUAAUUCAAAGACAUGUUUUAUGAAUAAAAUAAUAAAUUAAAUCAAAAUAAUAAAAAUGUAUUACAUUUAUUAUCAUUUAAUUUUUCACUAUAUAUUCUAUUUCACUUAAUUUAGCCAAACACAUAGAAAUAGUCUUUUUUAUUAGUUUAUAAAAUCAGUUAUGAACAUUGUCUAUCCAUUCAGGUACAGAUUGUUCUUUUCAGGUAUCGGUUUUUUUAAAUUAGGCUCGGCUUGAGUAUUAUAAAUUUAUGUGUGGGGUUUGAGUUGAGUCCUUCUGGGUCUAGAUGAGUUCCGUUAUGAUGUAUAGGAACCCAAAAAUAUCUAAAUAACAAAUGUAUUUGAAACGGGUUCGGAUAUUUGUACCAAAAAUAACCAUAUUACCUAAUUCGGUCCAGAUUUUUUGAAUACAAUUAACUAUAUUACGACCCAUCUAAAAUAUAUAACACUAAUUAUGAAAAAAAUAUCAAUGUAUAUAUAAAAAUGCAAGAAUCAAUACCCGCGCGGGUGCACGGAUCAAUCUCUGGUUGUUAUUGAAGUAUUUCUAGGAAAAUACUCUUUUAGGAAUCUUGGUAAUGCUGAUGCGUUAACGCAUAUAUAGACAUCGUUACAUAGUUAUAACCACCAUAUAUUGCUACCAUAUAUGAAGAAGAAGUAUAUAUAGAGUCACCAUACGUGUUCAUAGAUAAUGGUAAUUUCAGGACAAAUUGAGAGUCCAAGAUAUAUGAAUAGUUGCGCAAUAUGAAGUUAGUUUUUUUUUGUGGUUUUUUAUAUAUCGUGAAGUUAGUUACACGUAAACACCGCGAAUUUGGACAUGAUUGUUAGAAAUAUUCGUACCAGCUUAUUGUGUGGUUGAUCUGGAAUCAUGAUCAUUUUUCAGAUAACCUAACUAGCAUUAUUCUAUCUACUCGUUACAAUAGAACGCAAAGAUUGAUACGUUACUUUUUUGUUGUUUUCUAGAGAAGUGAAAAGGAGAGCGCGCACACGUUUUUCUUGUUGUUGGUUCCAAAUUCUAACUAACAAAUUACCCCCACAUCAUCCAAAGGGACAUUGACGAAUUCAUGAGCACCAUACGCUUUGGUUUCUCAUUCUCGUCUAAGUCGUCUUCUUGUCUCAUGCAACACUACUUUCCAAUAUUUAGGCCAAUAGUUUCUGUAGAUAGAAGAAACAAAUCACUUAUACGGGACCACCUGCAAUUCUAGUGUACAUUCAUUUAUUGGUGAAAUGAAAGCUUGUUGUGAUGGAAGAUGAUAGCUUGUUGUGCGCAAGAAACUUAGUAUUUACUUGUGAAAUAGAGGCUUUGGCAGCUCGACGUUUAUAAUUACUGAGAAGUCAAAAUAUACUCCAUGCAACUGAAUUGCUAAUUGUAUGUAUAUAUAUAUAUAUAUAUGUAUACUAGCAAGACGAGGUUAUUUGCAAUAUGUAUUGCUGCAGAACUCCUUAGACAUGCAAUGAUGCAAAAUAAAACCUUGACCUACAGUGAGUACAUUUUAUUUAUGAAUAAAAAGUGGAUGAACUUUUUACUGUAUGUACCAUGUGUUUUGCAAUUUUGAUUCGGUGGUCGCCUUAUCUUUUGCCUUUGGUCCCUUCCUCCCCCUCCUUUAGUUUUAUUAUUGCGUGUCUCCUUAAUGCGAUGAUAUAUAUUAUCUUUGAAUACGAAUCCAUUAAAAUGUUUUCCUUGACUCAGUGUUAUCAAGUUCAAGCAUCCGAUCCACAAGUUCCGAUUUUGGAUCCAUGUAAAUAUGAAAUGAUCCAAAUUUGAAACUCCUCAUCUCAUACAAAGAUUUAGGCCUAGACAUUCAGGUAUCCUUUUGGGUAUUUUGGGUUCCGGUAUUUCAGUAGAGGAGUUUAGAACCCAUUCAGAUAUUCUUACAUAUCUCGACUAUUUUUAGUUCGGGUUCGGGUAUAACCAAAAACCCGAACUUUGUGAUGAACUUUAAAAAGAACAAGAUCAGGCUCGAUCUUCUCUGUUGAUCUGAGUUUCAGUUGAAGUAAUUGAUUGUCAUUCUUUAGCUACUUUCUGCAAAUUUAUAUAUUUGGAAGGAGGAAUUUGAAUUGUUUCUCGUAUUGCUCCAACUCCAACGAAUCACGUAAUCAUUCUGAUUAUCACGUUACGAGUUAAGCUGUCAUGUGAUCUUGGGGAUCCAUUUUCCCAUUGUAUGAAGGGAUUUUCAACUUGAUAUUCGGAAUGAGAACAUUGGUUAUGUGGUACAGACCGGAAUCUUGAACUUAACUGUACCUGAAGCACAUGACCCGACCGACCCACUUAUAAACCAAACUAGGUUAUAACCCGCGUUAAAACGCGUUUAUGUAUUUUUCUUACAAAACACAAUAAAAACUAUUACUGUUAUGAAUAUUAUGGUGAUGCCAUUAUGGCAAGUCUUAAAUAUACUUGUUCUCCAAGUUUUACUUGUUCUCCAAGUGGCUUUGUCCACAAGCUAUUGUAAUCCUAUAUAAAGGACUCAUUACUCAUGGAAUAAGACACACCAAUUUCCUCUCUU